rnacentral:rRNA from 1 species
CGGAACGGGUGGGUAACGCGUGAGGAACCUGCCUCAAAGAGGGGGACAACAGUUGGAAACGACUGCUAAUACCGCAUAAGCCCACGGCUCGGCAUCGAGCAGAGGGAAAAGGAGCAAUCCGCUUUGAGAUGGCCUCGCGUCCGAUUAGCUAGUUGGUGAGGUAAUGGCCCACCAAGGCGACGAUCGGUAGCCGGACUGAGAGGUUGAACGGCCACAUUGGGACUGAGACACGGCCCAG